rnacentral:rRNA from 1 species
UACGUAGGGUGCAAGCGUUGUCCGGAAUUAUUGGGCGUAAAGAGCUCGUAGGCGGUUUGUCGCGUCUGCUGUGAAAACUCGGGGCUUAACCCCGGGCCUGCAGUGGGUACGGGCAGACUAGAGUGCGGUAGGGGAGACUGGAAUUCCUGGUGUAGCGGUGAAAUGCGCAGAUAUCAGGAGGAACACCUGCGGUGUAGACGGCUUUCUGGACCAUUGUUGACGCUGAGACACGAAAGCGUGGGUAGCAAACAGG